rnacentral:miRNA from 1 species
UAAUACGUUGAUUUCGUUGUAUUGCAAGAGAGGUAUGCAUUAUGAGGCUUUGUGUGUUCAGAAUAGAAUGGAAAGCGGAGGGGUGCGUCCUGAUAUUGUAACUUAUAAUUCCUUAAUAUAUGGUU